ensembl:lncRNA
CUGGAUUGCAAUAAUAUUGUAACUGGUGUAGCUGUUCACAAGGUGCAUGGAGUAAAUCAGCUAGGAAAUAACAACAGCAAAGAAAUCCAGCAGCACUUGUGAUGAAUUUAAUUAUACAUUUAAACUUACCAACACAAUUUGGCUUUCAAGCCUUCAUUUUAACAUUUUUUUAUUUUAUUUUUUUUUAUUUUCAAUGAAUCUCAGGGAGACAGCAUCAACCUUGCACUUAUAUAUUUACACUUAGUACUACUAAAUAAAAUGGCAGCAUUUAACAAAACAUUGCUUAUUUCAGUUUGUUUACAUGCUGUAAAGUGUCCAAACAGUCGGAUUCACUAACACUUUGCAAUGCUGUAUAUAAAAGAGGACCAUUAUUAUGUUUGAUUAUUUGCCCAGCUAACUUGACGGGAAAGCGCUUGACAGUGUCACAAUAAAUGCAGCAUGCUGAACUGCAUUACUACACAAUGGAAAAUAUUACACUACUGCACUACUGUCAUGCCACUGCUAAAUAUAGUUAAGUUAGUAAUGUUUCUACUUUUAGUUAGUUAAUCCCCAACACUGAAUAACAGUUUAGUGUCACUACACUGCUUUACUACUGGAGGAGCUACACAGUUUCAAAAACUGCUUUGCAUUACAGUCACCGCCUCAGCCGUGGUGCCGAAUGUUUGUGAUCAAGGGUCCGAGAUCAGGUCUAUCAACACAGGAAAGCGCGGGAAGAGGAUUAGUCAAGAUGGUCUACAAGUCAAACCCUUGAGGUCAUAAGCCUGCAUGGACAUUCCCUCAAAACCCCCAAAAGAGGUGAAGACAACAGUGUCAUUGUUCAUACGCUGGAAGGGUGGAUCCUUUCCUCUGGACAGGUUGUGGUUUCUUCUCUUGGUAUGUACAGAUCACCUCCCCUGUCACAGCACAGAUAAGGCGAGCACACGGAUGUUUUUCUUUUUUUUUCUAUUUCUUUUUUUUUUCUCGUAGCAGUAUGCUAAUGGCUAGGGCACGAGCUAAGCUGACAGGUGAAGGUGGGGAUGGAUGAGUGUGAUGUGACAGAUGUCUGAAGGUGGGGGCGACAAUGACGUCGCUCGAGAUACCAGACUCCAAUGACCUGACUGUGAACCUGGGGGCCAGGAGACCAAAUGAUUGCCUCUCCGAUUAGAGCAACAUACCUGCGGGCUAUUUCCAUAACCUGACCAUACCACACACCAAUUACCCAGAAUUCAACAAGCCUGCUGUGACCUGCCAUGCCAAAAGAGACUUAGCAGACCUCGCUGUAUGUGACAGCUUUACUUACAUGUUCAUUAAUAAGAUCACUUUGCACAGACAUAACUAAAACUAUAUAUGUUUAAAAAAAAUAAAGAAAAAAAAAAGAUUUAUGCUACUUGAAAU